CCUACGGGCGGCAGCAGUGAGGAAUAUUGGUCAAUGGCCGGGAGGCUGAACCAGCCAAGUCGCGUGAGGGAAGACGGCCCUACGGGUUGUAAACCUCUUUUGUCAGGGAGCAAGGUGCAGGUCGGGACCUGCUGUGAGAGUACCUGAAGAAAAAGCAUCGGCUAACUCCGUGCCAGCAGCCGCGGUAAUACGGAGGUGGCAAGCGUUAUCCGGAUUUAUUGGGGGUAAAGGGUACGCAGGCGGUCUUUUAAGUCUGAUGUGAAAGCCUUCGGCUUAACCGGAGUAGGGCAUUGGAAACUGGGAGACUUGAGUGCAGAAGAGGAGAGUGGAAUUCGAGGUGUAGCGGUGAAAUGCGUAGAUAUAUGGAAGAACGCCGGUGGCGAAAGCGGCUCUCUGGUCUCUAACUGACGCUGAGGUUCGAAAGCGUGGGUAGCGAACAGGAUUAGAUACCCGUGUAGUC
rnacentral:rRNA from 1 species